rnacentral:tRNA from 3 species
AAUGAAUUGCCUGAUGAAAAGGGUUACCUUGAUAGGGUAAAUUAUGCAGUCUACUGCAUUCAUUA